GUGCUUGCUUCGGCAGCACAUCUGCUAAAAUUGGAAUGAUACAGAAAUUAGCAUGGCCCCCGUGCAAGGAUGACACACGAAUUCACGAAGCAUCCCAUAUUAAA